rnacentral:rRNA from 1 species
AGAGAUCAUGGCUCAGGAUGAACGCUAGCGGCAGGCUUAAUACAUGCAAGUCGAACGGUAACAGGACCAGCAAUGGUCGCUGACGAGUGGCGCACGGGUGCGUAACGCGUAUGCAACCUACCUUUAACUGGUGAAUAGCCCCGAGAAAUCGGGAUUAAUACACCAUAAUAUUAUGAAAAGGCAUCUUUUUAUAAUUAAAACUCCGGUGGUUAAAGAUGGGCAUGCGUGACAUUAGCUAGUUGGUAAGGUAAUGGCUUACCAAGGCUACGAUGUCUAGGGGAUCUGAGAGGAUUAACCCCCACACUGGUACUGAGACACGGACCAGACUCCUACGGGAGGCAGCAGUAAGGAAUAUUGGUCAAUGGAGGCAACUCUGAACCAGCCAUGCCGCGUGCAGGAUGACGGACCUAUGGUUUGUAAACUGCUUUUAUACGGGAAAAAACCUCUUUACGUGUAAAGAGCUGAUGGUACCGUAAGAAUAAGGAUCGGCUAACUCCGUGCCAGCAGCCGCGGUAAUACGGAGGAUCCAAGCGUUAUCCGGAUUCAUUGGGUUUAAAGGGUGCGUAGGCGGAAUGGUAAGUCAGUGGUGAAAGCCCUUCGCUUAACGAAGGAACUGCCUCUGAUACUGCCAAUCUUGAGUACAUUUGAUGUGGGCGGAAUGUGUCAUGUAGCGGUGAAAUGCUUAGAUAUGACACAGAACACCGAUUGCGAAUGCAGCUCACAAAACUGUAACUGACGCUGAGGCACGAAAGCGUGGGGAUCAAACAUGAUUAGAUACCCUGGUAGUCCACCCCGUAGCUU